UACGUAGGUUGCGAGCGUUGUCCGGAAUUACUGGGCGUAAAGAGCUCGUAGGUGGUUUGUCGCGUCGUUCGUGAAAACCGGGGGCUUAACCCUCGGCGUGCGGGCGAUACGGGCAGACUUGAGUACUGCAGGGGAGACUGGAAUUCCUGGUGUAGCGGUGGAAUGCGCAGAUAUCAGGAGGAACACCGGUGGCGAAGGCGGGUCUCUGGGCAGUAACUGACGCUGAGGAGCGAAAGCGUGGGGAGCAAACAGG
rnacentral:rRNA from 1 species